GACGGAGGGUGCUAGCGUUGUUCGGAAUCACUGGGCGUAAAGGGCGCGUAGGCGGCCUUGCAAGUCGGUUGGUGAAAGCCCGGGGCUCCAACCCGGAGGUGCGGCCGAGACUGCAGGGCUGGAGGCCGGAAGAGGAGGGUGGAAUACCCGAGUGUAGAGGUGAAAUUCGUAGAUAUUGGGUGGAACACCGGUGGCGAAGGCAGCUCCGCUGGGACGUGACUGACGCUGAGACGCGAAAGCGUGGGGAGCAAACAGG
rnacentral:rRNA from 1 species